AAAAUACUGAAAAGUCAACAACAACAAAAAUACCCGCAAAAGUACCAUCCUGUUACUAAGCCAUGUACCCAUAGCACUGGACCUCCCUGAAAGGUACAUUUUAAAAUUUUUGUGCACAGCUGCCAUAUGGGUAUCUGGCAAGGAGCGCUGGUAAAAUGAGUGUUUCACCAGUUGUAGCUUCCCUAGAGAGUAUAUUUACUAAUGUGUAGUAUUACUGUAUACCAGGAGGAAACAUAAAGAGUGAGAGAUACUUAAAAAGCUAAAGAUUAAGGGGAUGGUCAGGUGGAAAACUGGGAUUUGGAAGGCAAUCAUUUCAGCAUUGGAGGAUGGUAAAAUUGCUCAGGGAGGAAGUCUAGAGCAAACGUUCUUAACAUUUUCUGCAGGGUCCUGGACUCCUUUGAAAUUCAAUUAAAUUAUGGCCCCUUUUACCCAAAUGCAUAAACAGAUGCACACACAAAUACAGUUUGGCAUAAACUUACCAAGGUUUCCUGGAACCCUCAGAAGCUUUUCCAUUUCUUCCUAAGAUUAGAAACCUUGCUUCUAAAGAGGAAAAAAAAAGGUGAAGGACAAAGCCUUGGAAGAGGAAGCAGUGAAGAAAAACAAGGAGCCCUUAGGGCCCCGGUAUCCAUUCAUCAAGCCUCUAGCACCACGGGAGCCUCCACGAGACACACCACGACUAUUGUAAUAGGGCUGAUUGCUACGUGGAAAUCCAGUGUUCUGCUGAGGAGGCUGCUGGUGGUUACCAGUCACUUGAUGGGACUGGUCCGGGGAACCAUGGUAAGUGCCAACCACUGUUUGAAGCUAUUCUUGCUGAAGCUCUGUUUGUUCUACUUGGUGAGGCUGACUAGAAAAGCUCUGGUUAUAACUGGCCUGGUACUGAUUUUGCUGUUUUAAAGUUUCUGGUUCACAGCUUUUCCAGUUAAAUUGGAGCACUGAACGUUCAGAUGCAUACCAAAUUAUGCAUGGGUCCUAAUCACACCUAUAAGGCUGGCUACCAGCUUUGACACAGCAUUGUUCAUCUGGCCAAACAACUGUGGUUAAAAACACAUGUAAAAUGCUUUUUAACAGCUGAUACUGUAUAAGACAAAGCCAAGAUGCAAAAUUAGGCUUUGAUUGGCACUUUUUGAAAAAUAUGCAACAAAUAUGGGAUGUAAUCUGGAUGGCCGCUUCUGUACUUAAUGUGAAAUAUUUAGAUACCUUUUUGAACACUUAACAGUUUUUUUGAGACAAUGACUUUUGUAAGGAUUGGUACUAUCAUUCCUUAUGACAUGUACAUUGUCUGUCACUAAUCCUUGGAUUUUGCUGUAUUGUCACCUAAAUUGGUACAGGUACUGAUGAAAUCUCUAGUGGAUAAUCAUAACACUCUUGGUCACAUGUUUUUCCUUCAGCUUGAAAGCUUUUUUUUAAAAGGAAAAGAUACCAAAUGCCUGCUGCUACCACCCUUUUCAAUUGCUAUCUUUUGAAAGGCACCAGUAUGUGUUUUAGAUUGAUUUCCCUGUUUCAGGGAAGUCACAGACGGUAGUUUCAGUUCUGAUGGUAUAAGCAAAACAAAUAAAACAUGUUUAUAAAAAAAAAAUUAUUGGAGAUUUUUUUCUUAAUGUUACCAAAACAUCAAAAU
rnacentral:lncRNA from 1 species